CGAACGGGUGAGUAACACGUGGGCAACCUGCCCAAAANAGGGGGAUAACACUUGGAAACAGGUGCUAAUACCGCAUAACCAUAGUUACCGCAUGGUAACUAUGUAAAAGGUGGCUAUGCUACCGCUUUUGGAUGGGCCCGCGGCGCAUUAGCUAGUUGGUGGGGUAAAGGCUUACCAAGGCAAUGAUGCGUAGCCGAACUGAGAGGUUGAUCGGCCACAUUGGGACUGAGACACGGCCCAAACUCCUACGGGAGGCAGCAG
rnacentral:rRNA from 1 species